rnacentral:rRNA from 1 species
GAUGAACGCUGGCGGCGUGCCUAAUACAUGCAAGUCGAGCGAACAGACGAGGAGCUUGCUCCUCUGACGUUAGCGGCGGACGGGUGAGUAACACGUGGAUAACCUACCUAUAAGACUGGGAUAACUUCGGGAAACCGGAGCUAAUACCGGAUAAUAUAUUGAACCGCAUGGUUCAAUAGUGAAAUACGGUUUUGCUGUCACUUAUAGAUGGAUCCGCGCCGCAUUAGCUAGUUGGUAAGGUAACGGCUUACCAAGGCAACGAUGCGUAGCCGACCUGAGAGGGUGAUCGGCCACACUGGAACUGAGACACGGUCCAGACUCCUACGGGAGGCAGCAGUAGGGAAUCUUCCGCAAUGGGCGAAAGCCUGACGGAGCAACGCCGCGUGAGUGAUGAAGGUCUUCGGAUCGUAAAACUCUGUUAUUAGGGAAGAACAAAUGUGUAAGUAAAUAUGCACGUCUUGACGGUACCUAAUCAGAAAGCCACGGCUAACUACGUG